AGGCUGCAGUGAGCAACCUCCACUGCACCCUGGGCAACAAGAGUGAGACCCUGUCUCAAAAAACAAGCAAACAAACAAAGCAGAAGACAAAAAACCUUCCUUAAAUUAAGGUAUGCUUCAGUCUACCAAAUAAAAUGGCACAAUGUCAUAAAAAAGAAUGAAAUCAUGUCUUUUGCAGCAACAUGGAUGGAACUGAUGGGCAUUAUCCUGACUGAAAUAACUUAGAAACAGAAAGUCAAAUACUGCGUGUUCCCACGUAUAAGUGGAGGCUAAACCAUGUGUACACAAGGACACGCAGAGUGGAGGAAUAGAUAUUGAGACACAAAAAGUAGAAGGGUGGGGAGGUGGAGGUUGAAGAAUUACCUGUUGGGUACGAGGUUCACUAUUGGGUGACAGGUGCACUAAGAACCCCGACUUCCCCACUACACGACACAUGCUUUUCAGAAACCUGCACUUGUACCCACUAAAUAGAUUUUUUUUAGUUUAAAUAAAAUUAAAAAUAAAUUAAAAGUCACAAUGUGAUUCAAGAACUGAUUCAGGAUGUGCCACAUUUGGGAAUAUAUUUCAAAGACUGAGAAAUAAUUCUGUGGGCAAAAAUCGGCAAAUCAAGGCAUCUAUAAAUGAGAACAAUCAAGCCACCCACAGAUUUCUACUUAACGUCAUUUGAUAGAAAUGUUUUUGUUUGUUUUUUGAGACAGAGUCUCACUCUGUUGCCCAGGCUGGAGUACAAUGGCAUGAUCUCGGUUCACUGCAACCUCCACCUCCCUGGCUCAAGCAAUUCUCCUGCCUCAGCCUCCCAAGUAGCUAAGACUACAGGUGUGCACAACCAUGCCUGGCUAUUUUCUGUAUUUUUAGUAGAGACAGAGUUUCCCCAUGGUGGCCAGGCUGGUUUUGAACUCCUGGGCUCAAGUGAUCCACCUGCCUGGAUCUCCCAAAGCACUGUUAUUACAGGUGUGAGCCACUGCACCAGGCCUGCUUGAAAUCUUAAAGCAAAGUUUGACUUAAACAUGCAGUCAACAUUCAUUCAAGCCAAAGCUCAUGAUAAAGCUAUUUUUAAAACAGAUAAGAACUUUUAAAAUACCAUUCUCAUGACUACUUUUUGGAAAAGAAAAAUAAAAAAACAACCCCGUUAGAGUAUAAGCUUAAGCCAAUUAUGUAAUCAAAGGAGAAGAUAUUGAAAAAUGAUGUUGGUGGGCACUGAUUUUUUUUUCACAUUUUACAAUUAACUUUUAUCAAACUAAUGGAUGCACAUGCUUUUUAAAAACCGCUAAGCACUCAGCCUUUCUGUGGGCAAUAUGCUAGUUAAACUCCAUUUUCCACUAUCCCUACUUGGGGUGCUUAUGUGUCUAAUUAAACUGCUCAUAUCCAAGCCUUCUUUGCAGACAGGAGUGGCCAUCUGUCAUAAAGCUGGCCAGAGAGAUACUGGCAGAAGCCAUUGAGUCACUUUUUUAAGGAACCUCUGACAGAGUUCCACUUCCAGAAAGGCAGUGUGAGGAGCUCAGUGUACCCAUUCCAAGAAAAAAAAAAUCCUAACUCAUGAUAAUUGUAAAAAUAACAACCAUUUAAUUUACCUGAAAAUUGUCGAAACGGCAGGCAACAAAUGAAGAAAUCAUUAUUGCGUAAAAUCUACGAAAUUCCUCUGUAAGAACUGUGAGAGUCUUACCCUUGAACCUGACCCCGCCCACUCUUCUCAGCAUGACGGAAGCUCCACUCUGGUUUUAAAGGUCCUAUAAAAGAGGAAGACUUCCUUGGAAUGUACCUUGUAGACUUUGUCCUUCCUCAUCUACUGCAGAACCUGGGGGUACAAAAGGCAUCGUGAACCUAUGAGGACAAAAGCCACACACUAUCAACGACUGCGCAAGAACAGCGAGAGUCUGGAACUGCGGUGACCUCAUGAGCUGAUGCCCUUUCUCUCGACAGCGAACAACAAUAGCCUUGCAUAAGUCACUGUACUGUGUGCUUUUUUGUCAUAUGCAGCCAACUGAAAAUCCUAAACAAACACCUGCCCCCUCCACCCCAUCCCACGCUCAGAAGCACCUGCUUUUAGCACAUUCAGCAGCAGUGGGAGGGGUUGCUGCUUAUCCCUUUACACUUAAAUUGGCUUAUACUGCUAUUUCUUGAUUUUUCCAUUUUAGACAUCAUUUACUAACUGAUAAGACCAUUGCAGAUGCAGUUAUUUUACACCUACCCUUCAACUCCCUUCCACCCAUUUCCCCAACAUAAUUACGAUUUUACAUUAAACCAUUCAAUGUUUACAAAUUUAUCACGUUAAUGUUCCUCAGUGCAAAGCCAAGUAUUGAACUAAGAUUUUUUCUCCCACUGUCUUAUUUUUUCAUGAGUUAAUAAAUCCUUCUUUUUCAUAAUUGCCUGCAUUUUCUUGUUAUGUCUGGAUACACCAUGACACAGUCUAUCAAGCCAUCAAUUCUAUGAGGGUCUCCCUCCAGACCACCCUCGGGGCACUCAAUCCCCCCACACAUUCUGCACUGGUUCCUCUAGAGGUCACUCUUCUGAAGCUUCUCCUUGCCCCUCGCCUUAGUUGGAGCCAAGAUUUCCUGGACUCUGUACCUUUGUCUUUCUUCAUUUGCUCUCUUGUCUUGCUGAAGCACAUCUCCCACGAGCUUCCUGAAAAAGGCAUCAUCAGGCAAAUGUUCUGAGCCCUUCAGGCUGGCCAGUGUUGAUGCUUUGUUCUCACACUUGAUAAUAGUUUAUCUAGGUUGAAAAAUUUAGGUUGACAAUACUUUUUUCUUUUUUUUUUUUUUUUUUUUUUUUUGUAGAGAUGAGGUCUCCCUAUAUUGCCCAGGCUGGUCUCAAAUGCCUGGGCUCAAGAGAUCCUCCUGCCUCGGCCUCCCAAAGUGCUGGGAUUACAGGAGUGAGCCACCAUGCCUGACAACAAUACUUUUUUCUUAAAAUUUUGAAAGCGUUGCUCCUUUUUCUUCUGGCACCUAAUGUCGCUUUUGAGAAACACAAUGCCAUUCCUAUUCUUGUUGUUUUUGGUGAUGUUUUUUCUUUGUUAGUUUUCUUCUCUUCUCUGGAUGCUUACACGGUCAUUUCUUCCUUGGUUCUAGAAUUUCAGAGCCACGUGUUUCUUUUAUGUACUGACACUUAAGGAGGCAUUUCAAUCUGAGAUCAGAUAUCACCAGUUCUAAGAAAGUCUUCCCCAUGAUUUCUUUGAUAAUUUCCUCUCCUCUGUUUUCUCCUCCCUCUCUUCCUUUAAAUCCUAAUAAUUGACUUUUAAAAAUCUCCCUGCCUUGGCCGGAGACACCUGUAAUCCCAGCACUUUGGGAGGCCGAGGCGGGCGGAUCACGAGGUCAGGAGAUCGAGACCAUCCUGGCCAACACGGUGAAACCCUGUCUCUACUAAAACUACAAAAAAAUUAGCUGGGUGUGGUGGCGGGCGCCUGUAGUCCCAGCUACUCAGGAGGCUGAGGCAGGAGAAUGGCAUGAACCUGGGAGGUGGAGGUUGCAGUGAGCCGAGAUCGCGCCACUGCACUCCAGCCUGGGCGACAGAGCAAGACUGCGUCUCAAAAAAAUAAUAAUAAAAUAAAAUAAAAAAUCUCCCUGCCUUGAUCCACCCAGGCUCUUUUGUCUGUUCAUCAUUUGGAUCUAUCUUCUGACAGAUUCUAUUUACUUUAAUUUCCAGCUCUACUAUUUUCUUAUUAAUUUUGGUUCAUAAUUUCAACUUCCAAGAGUUCUAGUUUUCAGACUACUCUUACUUUAUAGAAUCCUGCUGUUGCUUAUCUAUCUCUUUAAGUAUACUGUUAGCUUUUUUCUUUUGGUUUCAUUUGUCCAUUGCAUUAUGUUUUCUCACCUUUAUUUUCUCGUCUCUUGCACAUUUUCCUUAAAUAUCUCUAGAUCCUUACCUGUUAAUUUAACAGUGAGGCACUAAAAUAACGGAUUAAAGCUCUGAGAACAUAGAUGAAGCUUACAACCUGAAGUGGGGAGCUUCUCUUUCAGAGCUGGGCAUGAAACUAUCCAUUUUAUUGGGGAUGCUCCAAAUGUCAGGAUAAGGAGGUAUUUUCUCUGGAUACACCCAGGUUCUCUGGAGAGGAAGCUAUUAACCUUCUUUAGCAAUUGGCCUCUGUCUGCUGAUGUCCUAUGGUCAGGCAGGUCGACUUUUAUUUUUUUUUUUUUGAGUCUCGCUGUUACCCAGGUUGGAGUGCAGUGGUGCAAUCACAGCUCACUGGAGCCUUGACCUCCCAGAUUAGGUGAUCUUCCCACCUCAGCCUCCAGAGUAGCUGGGACUACAAGCAUGCGCCACCACACCCGGCUAAAUUUUUGUGUGUUUUUUUUUGUUUGCUUGUUUGUUUCUUUGUUUGUUUUGUAGAGACGGUUUCGCCAUGUUGCCCAAUCUGGUCUUAAACUCCUCGAAUCAAGAGAUUCAUCCAUUUUGGCACCCCAAAGUGCUAGGCUUACAGGUGUGAGCCACCAGGCAAAGCCAGGCAGGUUGAAUUUUAAUCCCUUUUGUACCUACGCUGGCUUCUUAAUUUCAUCUCCCUCUGCACACACUACAGGUAGUAUCUUAAUCUCAUCUCCCUCUGCACACUCUAUAGGUAAUAUCUUAAUCUCAUCUCCCUCUGUUCAUACUACAGGUAAUAUCUUAAUCUCAUCUCCCUCUGCUCACACUAUAGGUAGUAUCUUAAUCUCAUCUCCCUCUGCACAUACUACAGGUAGUAUCUUAAUCUCAUCUCCCUCUGCACAUACUACAGGUAGUAUCUUAAUCUCAUCUCCCUCUGCACACCCUACAGGUAGUAUCUUAAUCUCAUCUCCCUCUGCUCAUACUACAGGUAGUAUCUUAAUCUCAUCUCCCUCUGCACACACUAUAGGUAGUAUCUUAAUCUCAUCUCCCUCUGCUCAUACUACAGAUAGUAUCUUAAUCUCAUCUCCCUCUGCUCAUACAACAGGUAGUAUCUUAAUCUCAUCUCCCUCUGCACACACUAUAGGUAGAGUAAUUUCUUCCACUCCAUAAAAUUUGUUGUCAUAUAGAGUGAAAAAUUUAGUACCUACGGUGGACCCUUGAACAACAUGGAUUUGAACUGUGCAGGUGCACUUAUAUGUGGAUUUUCUUCUGCCUCUGCCAUUCCUGAGAUAGCAAGACCAACCUCUCCUCCUCUUGCUCAGCUUACUCAGUGUGAAGAUGAUGAGAAUAAAGACCUUUAUGAUGAUCAACCUACUUCCAUUUAAUGAAUAAUAAAUGUAUUUUAUCUUCCUUAUGAUUUUCUUAAUAACAUUUUCUAGUCUCUAGCUUACUUUAUUGUAAGAAUAUAGUAUAUAAUAUGUAUGACAUUGAAAAUAUGUGUUAAUCAGCUGCUUGUGUUAUUGGUAAGUCUUCCUGUCAACCAUAAGGUAUUAGUAAAGUUUUGGGGGAGUUGGAAUUUACAUGUAGCUUUUCCCCUCUGUGUGUGUGUUUGGGGCUGUCGAUGCCCUUAACCUCUACACUGUUAAGAAUAAACUGUGUACUGUUGGUGGGAGUAAGCAAUGGAAGAUUAUAUUCAUAAUAUCGGAUUGGUAAAUGCCUGUUAAAUUAAGAUAUGAAAUGCAGAAUCCAUAAGAUACUGGUACCUACGUAAAAUUAGGCAUUUUUCAAGGCAAUAAAAAGUCCAAUUGGAAGUAUGUUAUUAGCAGCAACAGGCCAGUAUUAUAUAUAUCUAAAAGGUUUGUACAGAUCAGUUCAAUGGCCAGUUACAUAUGUCUAAAAGGAUUUGUACAGGUCAACUCAAUAAAGAUUAAUAUUCUGUUAGAAAGCAAAAUGGGCAAAUGACUAAAACACGCAGUUCGCCGACUGUGGUGGCUUAUGCCUGGAAUUCCAGCUCUUAGGGAGGUAGAGGCAGACAAAUAGCUUAAGCCCAGGAAUUCGAGACCUACCUGGGCAAUAUAGUGAGACCCCUUUCUCCACAAAAAAGAAAAAAAAAGUGUAAACCUGCAGUUCACAGAAAAGAAAAAUACACAAAGGACUUAUAAAAUGUCUUUAAAAUAUGCUUGAUAUACUGAUAAUUAAAUACAUAGAAAUUAAAACAAGAAAUCAGCCAGGCAUGGUGGGGACUGCCUGUCAUCUCAGCUACUCAGGAGGUUAAAGCAGGAGGAUCACUUGAACCCAGCAGUUCAAGGCCAGCCCAGGCAACACAGCGAGGCCCCAUCUCCAAAAAAUAAUAAUCAUCUAUUAGCAUUUCAAAAAAUAAAGAUUAAGAGAUUUGGGGCCAGACGCAGUGGUUCACGCCUGCAAUCCCAGCACUUUGGGAGGCCGAGGCGGG
rnacentral:lncRNA from 1 species